UACGUAGGGGGCAAGCGUUGUCCGGAUUUAUUGGGCGUAAAGAGCGUGUAGGCGGUUCGGUAGGUCCGUUGUGAAAACUCGAGGCUCAACCUCGAGACGCCGAUGGAAACCAUCGAACUAGAGUCCGGAAGAGGAGAGUGGAAUUCCUGGUGUAGCGGUGAAAUGCGCAGAUAUCAGGAAGAACACCCGUGGCUAAGGCGGCUCUCUAGUACGGUACUGACGCUGAGACGCGAAAGCGUGGGAGCAAACAGG
rnacentral:rRNA from 1 species